UACGGGGGGGGCAAGCGUUGUUCGGAAUUACUGGGCGUAAAGGGCUCGUAGGCGGCCAACUAAGUCAGACGUGAAAUCCCUCGGCUUAACCGGGGAACUGCGUCUGAUACUGGAUGGCUUGAAUUCGGGAGAGGGAUGCAGAAUUCCAGGUGUAGCGGUGAAAUGCGUAGAUAUCUGGAGGAAUACCGGUGGCGAAGGCGGCAUCCUGGACCGACAUUGACGCUGAGGAGCGAAAGCUAGGG
rnacentral:rRNA from 1 species